GCCACGUCCUUUCUCAUCCACCCAGGGCUCCUCAGAAGCCCAGGCCUCAGAUCACGAGGUGACAGCUGAUCCCAGACUCCCAGGCCGGCCGGUGGGAGGGGACAGUCACCGUCAGCUGUCCUCCCCCGGCAGGAGGUAAAGAGACGGGGGUUGGGGAGGGGCACACUGCUAAGGCCAGGAGGCCAGGCAAUGCCUUCCCAGCAGCCCUGGACACACAGGACAAGGGCACUGCCCUCGCGUCACAGAUAAGGACCUGAGGCCCCAGAGGGUAAAUGGUUUCCCUGACUGGUGCCCAAUCCUGGGCAGAGCCAGGCUGGCACCCACGUGUGCCCUCUGCUCCUGUGCCCACUGGAGAAUGUGGCCAACCUCUGCCAGCCACCUGGGUGCCGUACAGGGGACAGUGGGGACCCAGCUUGGGAUGAGGCCCCAAGGAGCUUAGAGUCGGAAGGAGAAGAAAACGAGCAGCAGCCACGUGGCCGAAGCGGGCGAACGUUGAGGUGGGCAGCGGAGCACGGGGCUCAGAGGAGACGCUCUCCCAGCACCACGCACACACGAGGAUGCUUCUUGGACCAGCUGCUCCGCGUCAAUUUCCAACUUUUUCUCCCUCCGUUUGGAACGAGCUCGCCGUCCUCAAAGAAGGCGCCAGCCCAGGGUUUCGGGGCGCGCCAAAGCGGGACCCUGCAAGUCUGUGAUUAGAAUACAAGAGGGAGGAUCAAGCUUGGCCUCUAGCAGUGAACAGUGUUGAGCCCUUGUCAGAGUCCAGGUCCCUCCAAACCAAACCUGUUGGCUUCCAAAAGGGCACGGGGCACCUCUGCCCUCCAGAGGGCUCCGCCUCCAGCCAGCGUGGAGCUGGCGGAUCACAGCGACGCAGCAGAUGAGAAGCAUCCCGGCGGUCGGCCCACCCGCCUCCCACCUCCCGCAGAAGCAGCCCUGGCGGGGUCCCAGCUGCCACUGGGUCAGGUGGGGGACAAAGAGGAAGCAGUGAGGGAGGAGCUGCAGUGGGUCACCUGGUGCCACCCCCCUGUGCCCCUCCCCCUCCAGGGGGGCGUCUGUCUGUGAUGAGCAGAGGCACGCAGGGUAGUGCCAGCCUCACCACCUUUACGGGAGGGGCAGUCGCUGACCUCUGCUCCCCGAGCGUUACCUUGCAGACUCCACCUGGAAGCAGUGAGGGGCCUGGGGACCCUCGAGUCCUCGGCAGCUUGAAGGCCCCCAGCAGGGGACGUGCUUUCAGAGCUCCCUGUCUGACCCCGAGCCUCCGAUGAGGGAAAGGAAAGGAAACUGUCCCCCCCUCGUCCCCCUUAAUCCCACUCUGGAGGAGAGCGCUGCGGAGCGGGGCCCGCGGUGCUCAGGUAAUAGCUCCUUUCUCUGUCAGAAGCUGCCUCUUCCGCUCCCUGAGAGGCUGCUUCCAGCUUCCCCUCAACAGCUCUGGCUGUUGGGAGCGUCUGGAAGACACUUUGCAGGGAGCAAGCGAGUGUGCAGCCGUCUGAGCCCCCGAGCCCCCUGAGCUCUCCCUGGUCCUCCGGAUGCCGUGAGUAGGUUCCAAGGAGGCUGCGAGUGGGAGCCACAGCAGGUGGAAGCUGGGACAGAGGGGAGAAGGACUUCCCGAACCCCAGGGGGCAAUGCCCGGAGAGCCCCCAGCCCAGAGGGGUCCCCAGCCCUGCUCAAGCUCCACCAGCAUAGAUUUGCGUUUCUGACCACUGAGCCUGUGUCCUAUCAGAGGGAGAGGGGCCCAGCCUCACACAGGGUCCCACCCCAUCAGGGUCCCCAUCACACACGAGGGGACUGGGAAGGGAGUACGGGUGGCCCCUUCCCUACUCCGACGGUGUGCCCCUUCCUCAGAGCCACCCCAGGGAUGGCGAGAGACAUAGCCCAAUGCCAGGGCCCAGCAAAGGCGACAGUAAAGCCGCCAAAGCUGGACGCCCCACCGUGGAGCUGCCCACCUCACCUCCGGUCACUGAAGACGCUGCGUGGCUGGUGUCCUCUAGCUUAUCAGGGGCCCAUCUGGACCUGGUAUCCCGCAAGUGGGGCCUGAAAGUCUAACUCAUGAGCUCUGGGUCCCUGGACCCCAGAACGGGGCCCAGCCCUCAGUGGGUGCCCAGGAGAUAUUGCGUCAGGAUACAGACAACACGUGGGCACCCACGUGGGCCAGGCCCUGUGCCCAGGGUUUUGGGUCCACAGUCUCACUGAAUCUUCCCAACCACCUGUGAAGGUGGGGACUCCCCCUUUCCCAGACGGGGAAACUGAGGCUCGGGGAGAUCGGUGAGCCAGGGUCAAGAGCCCUGCUCGGAGUCCAUGCCCUCAACCCCCGUGCUAGGAAGGCAGAGGGAGGGCCGAGGAAGACAGACCUCGCCAGGCCAUCCUCCAGACCCAGGAGUGGGAGCGAGGAGGACAAGCCUGUGUGGGAAGGGAUGCAGGAGACGCAGGCAAGACAGGAGAGAGGGGGAGGCAGGCUGGCCGGGAUCUAGGGUCUGGAUUUAGGAAGGAGAUGAGUGGCCCUGACGGGGGACGGAGCUCAGGAGGUGGCUUUCAUUCUCAGCCUGAGUGUCGGGGGCCUCGACUUAGGCCCCUCCAUUGCAGAGAAGAGGAAACUGAGGCCCAGAAGGCUCGCUGGCCAUGGCCAAUAGUACAAACGAGCCAGGCUAAUUUGAGAUGAGGACUCAGCAUCUAGCCCAGUAACUGAUGGACAGGCAGAUAGAUGGAUGAACAGAUAAGACCUGGUACAUGUGCACAAUGAAAUAUUACUCAGCCAUAAAAAAGGAUGGAAUAAUGCCAUUGGCAGCACCAUGGAUGGGCCUGGAAAUUAUCAUACUAAGUAAAGUAAGUCAAACCGAGAAAGACAAAUACCUUAUGAUACCUUAUAUGCAGAAUCCAAAAAGAUGAUGCAAUGAACUGAUGUAUGAAACAGAAACAGAUUCACAGACAUAGAAAACAUGGUGACCAACGGGCAAAGGGAGCGGGAGGGAUGAGCUCGGAGUUGGCAUCAGCAGAUACAAGCUGCUGUGUAUAAAAGCGACACGCGAUAAGGAAGGGCCUCCUGUACAACACAGGGAACCGUUUUAUACCCUGUAAUAAACCAUAGUGGAAAACAAUAUGAGAAA
rnacentral:lncRNA from 9 species